rnacentral:lncRNA from 1 species
CAUGCCUGCCAAUGUUCAACGUCCUCCUGGGAUACGGAAGGCACCGUGAUAGACAUCUGGGCAAGUCAACAGGAAGGUGGAUAUCCAAAUCUCUCUCUUCGCAAUGAGUUUCCAGUUAGAUGGAGGAGAGAGUAAUAAAACACAGAGCUGAGAUUCCUGACUUCACAGAUCCCUGAGGAGAUGUUUACUAAAGGGAAUCUUCUGGUCACUGUUACCUUCCUCCGUACUUACCUGCCUCAUGGAGAACCCGAAAGGAAGAAGCUAUACGACUGGGGACACAUGUCUUAGAAGCACACUCAUUAGAUAAAGUGUCGCAUACUCUUUGAUAAGAGGUUGCUGAAGUCAAAAGCAGCUCACUCCCAGUUCACUGAGCUUGAGUUCCGGCUGCAACUUGGCCUUGAGAUUUUUGAAACGUUGAUAUGGAAGAUAAAGAAAAACGCAGAUUCCUGUCUUCUAAGGAACAAAGGCUGGAAGACAGUUCUGCAGAUUCUGCCUUUGAGGGAUUAGAGGGAUGUGCCCAGGACCAGAUCUUCAGUUAUGCAAAUAUACCUUAGAGACCACAGUAAGAAAGACAUCGCUCUGAAAUGCUCUGGUCCCAAGGAAAAUAUUGCUCUAUAUAAUAAUGGAAAACGUUGUCUGUGUAUCAUGCUGAGCUGCAUUUUAUUUUGUACCCUUGAGAGAGCUUUUAUUUUCUUAUAAAUAAGGAUUGGUCUUGUUCUGGG